GACGAACCGUGCGAACGUUAUUCGGAAUCACUGGGCUUAAAGCGCGUGUAGGCGGGCGGGAACGUCGGUUGCUGAAAGCCCCCGGCUCAACCGGGGAACGGGCGCCGAAACGACCCGCCUCGAGGGACGUAGGGGGACCUGGAACUUCCGGUGGAGCGGUGAAAUGCGUUGAGAUCGGAAGGAACGCCCGUGGCGAAAGCGAGGUCCUGGACGUCUUCUGACGCUGAGACGCGAAAGCUAGGGGAGCGAACGGG
rnacentral:rRNA from 1 species